GCCCGCGCGCGCCGCCUCACGGGCGCGCUCCCGCCCGCCCUUCCCGCCCCUCAGGGCGCGGCCCCUCCGGCGCCCUCGCCCCGCUCCGCCCCGACCCCCCGGCGGCGGCUCUCCUGAGGUACUGGAAGGCACCUGGAGUGUUUAUGGCCCCAGUUCCAGGUGAGAUGCACCACUAACAUCUGGCUCUACCUCCCCAGCAUGUCCUGUUCAGGAUGCUCCAGGUUUGACUGCUCAGGUCCUGCUGAGUUUUCAGAAUUGUUAAAGCUCAGACCACAUCCCUUGCCAAGUUUAAUGGGAGCAGACACCCCUGGGAACAGAGGAUGUCUCAUGGCAGGCACUGCAGUGCCACACUGAGCUGCCAGAUCCACACUCCAGCCCUGAAAGCACAUUCCAGAAUCAUCCAGCUUGGAAAAGACCUCCCAGAGCAUCGAAUCCAAGCUGGGAUCAAUCCCAUUUCCAGCAGGUGCCAUGUGCACUCAUUCCUUGGUCAACCAGAGAUGGGACUGCCCCAGUUCCCAGCCCCUUCCAGUGCCUGAGCACCUUUUCCAUGGCUGCUCUGGGAUCCUGGUGUUUCUCUGGGGCUGCACAGCUGCCCUGCUCUCUGUGCCACACAAAACCAGGAGUCCAUCAGAGUCUGGGGUGUCUCUCUGAGCUGCACUCUGUGUUUGGGAUAAAUAAAAGUAAGGAAAGGCAGAUCCAGUGGGUUUUGUUGAGAAUGGUCAGUGCCAGGUCUGGGAAACCUGUGUGAAACACAGCCCAGUUCAGAGUUCUCCUCUUAAUUUCAGUCAUCUCUACUCUCCUUCCUGAGCAAAACAUAUUUAGCACUGAAAUGAAGCAGCAUUUUGGAUGUUUAUAUCUUGUUUAGCAAAUCAAUUUACAAUUCCCCAUUUCCCUGUUUGGCCCUGCUGUUCUCUCCAGAGGUACUGGGAUCCCUGGAGUCAGGAGGUGGCAAAUCCAUUAGUUCUGCUUUUCCUGGAGCACAGCUGUUCCAGCUUGCUGCUUUUUGCCUGUCUGAGAUCUCCUUAGGCUCAGGGGCUGAUUUACUGCCCCAUGUGCUCCCUGUGCUAUUUCUCCACUGGGAAUUUGUACCCUCCCACUGCUCAGAGUUUACCUGUCUGGAGCUGCUGCUUUUCCCUAGUUACAGACAAGGACAGCAUCCUCCUCACAUGGGAGAGAGAAUAUUUUUAUAACUUUCUAUACCAUAAAAAUUCUUUUUAUAACAGACUUUUCUAUGAGAGAGAGACCUUUGGACCAACAGAUCAUGACAGUGCUGUUAGUCACUUGUGAGCAUUGCUUUUUCCUUGUAUUUAUGAAAGAGGCAACUUUUAACCCUGUUUUUAACUGUGAUUAUGAUUUGCUUUUUAACUGUGACUCUGUUUUUCAGCAAAGCUGUGGUUUAUUUAAACCAGCCUCGUGGUCUUGCAAAGCUUAGACAGUAACUUGAGAUGUCACAGUGAGCACACACAGUGAUCAAAAUUAUGGAGCAACUGCUCUGUGAGGAGAGAUUGAAUUCUUUAGG